rnacentral:rRNA from 1 species
GUCUUUUAGGUAUUUAUUUAAGGUCUAACCUGCCCAAUGAUUAUAAUUAAAUGGCCGCGGUAUCCUAACCGUGCAAAGGUAGCAUAAUCACUUGUCUCUUAAUUGGAGGCUCGUAUGAAUGGUUGGACGAGAAAUUUACUUUCUUUAUUUUAAUUUAAUGAAUUUUAUUUUUAAGUGAAAAAGCUUAAAUUUUUUUAUAGGACGAGAAGACCCUGUAGAGUUUUAUAGUUUUAUUUUUAUGGAAUUUUUAGUUUAUAUUAUUUCUAUAUUUUGUUUCUAUUUUGUUGGGGCGACAGGGGGAUUUUUUUAACUCUCUUUAAUUUUUUUCACGGAUGAGUGUUUUAUUGAUCCUAUUUUAUUGAUUAAAAGAUUAAAUUACCUCAGGGAUAACAGCGUAAUUCUUUUGGAGAGUUCUUAUCAAUAAAAGAGUUUGCGACCUCGAUGUUGAAUUAAGAUUAGCUUUGGGGGUAGGUUUUCAAUUGCUAGGUCUGUUCGACCUUUAAAUUCUU